rnacentral:rRNA from 1 species
ACACAUGCAAGUCGAACGAGAGAGAGGGAGCUUGCUUCCUUGAUCGAGUGGCGAACGGGUGAGUAACGCGUGAGGAACCUGCCUCAAAGAGGGGGACAACAGUUGGAAACGACUGCUAAUACCGCAUAAGCCCACGACCCGGCAUCGGGAAGAGGGAAAAGGAGCAAUCCGCUUUGAGAUGGCCUCGCGUCCGAUUAGCUAGUUGGUGAGGUAAUGGCCCACCAAGGCGACGAUCGGUAGCCGGACUGAGAGGUUGAACGGCCACAUUGGGACUGAGACACGGCCCAGACUCCUACGGGAGGCAGCAGUGGGGAAUAUUGCACAAUGGGGGAAACCCUGAUGCAGCGACGCCGCGUGGAGGAAGAAGGUCUUCGGAUUGUAAACUCCUGUUGUUGAGGAAGAUAAUGACGGUACUCAACAAGGAAGUGACGGCUAACUACGUGCCAGCAGCCGCGGUAAAACGUAGGUCACAAGCGUUGUCCGGAAUUACUGGGUGUAAAGGGAGCGCAGGCGGGCGAUCAAGUUGGAAGUGAAAUCCAUGGGCUCAACCCAUGAACUGCUUUCAAAACUGGUCGUCUUGAGUAGUGCAGAGGUAGGCGGAAUUCCCGGUGUAGCGGUGGAAUGCGUAGAUAUCGGGAGGAACACCAGUGGCGAAGGCGGCCUACUGGGCACCAACUGACGCUGAGGCUCGAAAGUGUGGGUAGCAAACAGGAUUAGAUACCCUGGUAGUCCACACCGUAAACGAUGAUUACUAGGUGUUGGGAGAUUGACCCUCUCAGUGCCGCAGUUAACACAAUAAGUAAUCCACCUGGGGAGUACGACCGCA